rnacentral:rRNA from 1 species
AUGGAAGCCAUUUUCUUGGUACGACAACUUAUGGAGAGAUAUAGGGAGCAUAAGAAGGACUUGCAUAUGGUGUUCAUUGACUUAGAGAAGGCCUAUGAUAAGAUACCGCAGAAUGUCAUGUGGUGGGCCUUGGAGAAACACAAAGUCCCAGCAAAGUACAUUACCCUCAUCAAGGACAUGUACAAUAAUGUUGUGACAAGUGUUCGAACAAGUGAUGUCGACACCGAUGACUUCCCGAUUAAGAUAGGACUGCAUCAGGGGUCAGCUUUGAGCCCUUAUCUUUUUGCAUUGGUGAUGGAUGAGGUCACAAGGGGUAUACAAGGAGAUAUCCCAUGGUGUAUGCUCUUUGCGGAUGAUGUGGUGCUAGUUGACGAUAGUCGGACGGGGGUAAAUAGGAAGUUAGAGUUAUGGAGACAAACCUUGGAAUCGAAAGGGUUUAGGCUUAGUAGAACUAAAACCGAGUACAUGAUGUGCGGUUUCAGUACUACUAGCUGUGAGGAGGAGGAGGUUAGCCUUGAUGGCCAGGUGGUACCUCGGAAGGACACCUUUCGGUAUUUGGGGUCAAUGUUGCAGGAGGAUGGGGUAUUGAUGAAGAUGUGA